CAUUCUGGCAAACAUCCACUUUUUCAAAAGCAUUUCAGUUUUAGGCAAUAGUACUAUAGCAAGUUCACGAGUAUGUGAGUUUUCAAAUUUUAAAUGUAAAUCUUUUCUCAGUUCUCUAUUCAACUCAGACUCUUCUGCUCCAAUGAAACCCCCUUACUCGUUCCACAAAUCAACGACGUCGACAACAACGAUAUAUCAACUUAUCUCUUUCUUUUCAUUCUAAUGACGCCGUUUUACACCAUCCAUUCACCAUUAAUAUUACCAUUCAAUUUCCCUUGGCAAAGCUGAAAACGCAGAUCAAGAGCUACUUCAAGGGCGACGAGUAGGUGCUCCCGUCGAUCAUGGAGGCGAUUCUGAAGCAGUUGUCUGAAAAGAGAAGGAGGAAUAGGAUUAACGAGAAAAUGAAAGCCUAGCAGAAUUUAAUUCCAAAUUCCAACAAGAAUUAUUUUUAGACAAAGCUUCAAUGCUAGAUGAGGCCCUAGAAUAUUUAAAGCAGCUCCAGCUUCAAGUGCAAGUGAAUUUUCUUUCAUUUGGCUUGUGAAUUAUAUCAAUCACCUCCUUGGAUAUGUCUUUUUUCCCUACUUGACUCAUAUGUAUUAUUUUGUCCUUUGCAUUUAGUUACUUAAAAAUGAAGUUUAGAAUGAUUCAUAUUGAUGAUGGUUA